rnacentral:rRNA from 1 species
UACGUAGGGUGCGAGCGUUGUCCGGAAUUAUUGGGCGUAAAGGGCUCGUAGGCGGUUUGUCGCGUCGGGAGUGAAAACGCCGUGCUUAACACGGCGCUUGCUUUCGAUACGGGCAGACUAGAGGUAUUCAGGGGAGAACGGAAUUCCUGGUGUAGCGGUGAAAUGCGCAGAUAUCAGGAGGAACACCGGUGGCGAAGGCGGUUCUCUGGGAAUGCCCUGACGCUGAGGAGCGAAAGUGUGGGGAGCGAACAGG